UGGGAUGUAGCGCAGUCUGGUAGCGUACACGCCUGAGGGGCUUGGGUUCGCAGGUUCAAAUCCUGUCAUCCCGA
rnacentral:tRNA from 1 species